rnacentral:rRNA from 1 species
GAUCCUGGCUCAGAAUCAACGCUGGCGGCGUGCCUAACACAUGCAAGUCGUACGCGAAAGGGGAGCAAUCCCUGAGUAGAGUGGCAAACGGGUGAGUAACACGUGGGUGACCUGCCUCAGAGUGGGGGAUAACGUCCCGAAAGGGACGCUAAUACCGCAUAACAUCCUGCCUUUGGAAAGGCGGAGAUCAAAGCCGGGGAUCGCAAGACCUGGCGCUUGGAGAGGGGCCCGCGUCUGAUUAGCUAGUUGGUAGGGUAAUGGCCUACCAAGGCAACGAUCAGUAUCCGGCCUGAGAGGGCGGACGGACACACUGGGACUGAGACACGGCCCAGACUCCUACGGGAGGCAGCAGUGGGGAAUUGUUCGCAAUGGGCGCAAGCCUGACGACGCAACGCCGCGUGGAGGAUGAAGAUCUUCGGGUCGUAAACUCCUGUCGAGCGGGAAGAACACCUUUUGGGCGAAUAUCCCGAAAGGCUGACGGUACCGCUAAAGGAAGCCCCGGCUAACUCCGUGCCAGCAGCCGCGGUAAUACGGGGGGGGCAAGCGUUGUUCGGAAUUACUGGGCGUAAAGGGCUCGUAGGCGGCCAACUAAGUCAGACGUGAAAUCCCCAGGCUCAACCUGGGAACUGCGUCUGAUACUGGAUGGCUUGAAUCCGGGAGAGGGAUGCAGAAUUCCAGGUGUAGCGGUGA